UACGGAGGGGGCUAGCGUUGUUCGGAAUUACUGGGCGUAAAGAGCGCGCAGGCGGUCGUUCAAGUCGCGUGUGAAAGCCCCCGGCUCAACUGGGGAGGGUCACGCGAUACUGAUCGACUGGAAGGCAGGAGAGGGUAGUGGAAUUCCCGGUGUAGUGGUGAAAUGCGUAGAUAUCGGGAGGAACACCAGUGGCGAAGGCGACUACCUGCCUGUUCUUGACGCUGAGGCGCGAAAGCUAGGGGAGCAACGGG
rnacentral:rRNA from 1 species